rnacentral:rRNA from 1 species
UACGGAGGGUGCGAGCGUUUAUCGGAAUUACUGGGCGUAAAGCGUGCGUAGGCGGAUGCUUGAGUCGGAUGUGAAAGCCCUGGGCUCAACCUGGGAAUGGCAUUCGAUACUGGGCAUCUAGAGUGUGGUAGAGGGGGGUAGAAUUCCUGGUGUAGCGUUGAAAUGCGUAGAUAUCAGGAGGAAUUCCUGAUGAGACGGCGACCACCUGGAUCUACACUGACGCUGAGGUACGAAAGCGUGGGUAGCAAACAGG